UACGGGGGGGGCAAGCGUUGUUCGGAAUUACUGGGCGUAAAGGGCUCGUAGGCGGCCAACUAAGUCAGACGUGAAAUCCCUCGGCUUAACCGGGGAACUGCAUCUGAUACUGGAUGGCUUGAGUUCGGGAGAGGGAUGCGGAAUUCCAGGUGUAGCGGUGAAAUGCGUAGAUAUCUGGAGGAACACCAGUGGCGAAAGCGGCGUGCUGGGCCCCUUCUGACGCUGAGGCGCGAAAGCCAGGGGAGCGAACGGG
rnacentral:rRNA from 1 species